UUGCCUGCUAUCUCUUACCCAUGUCUUUUGAGUACCUUCGUUUCCUCGGCGGGUUCGCCCGCCGAUUGGACAAUUUAAACCAUUUGCAGUUGCAAUCAGCGUCUGAAAAAACAUAAUAGUUACAACUUUCAACAACGGAUCUCUUGGUUCUGGCAUCGAUGAAGAACGCAGCGAAAUGCGAUAAGUAGUGUGAAUUGCAGAAUUCAGUGAAUCAUCGAAUCUUUGAACGCACAUUGCGCCCCUUGGUAUUCCAUGGGGCAUGCCUGUUCGAGCGUCAUUUGUACCUUCAAGCUCUGCUUGGUGUUGGGUGUUUGUCUCGCCUCUGCGUGUAGACUCGCCUCAAAACAAUUGGCAGCCGGCGUAUUGAUUUCGGAGCGCAGUACAUCUCGCGCUUUGCACUCAGAACGACGACGUCCAAAAGUACAUUUUUACACUCUUGACCUCGGAUCAGGUAGGGAUACCCGCUGAACUUAAGCAUAUCAAUAAGCGGAGGAAAAGAAACCAACAGGGAUUGCCCUAGUAACGGCGAGUGAAGCGGCAACAGCUCAAAUUUGAAAUCUGGCGUCUUUGGCGUCCGAGUUGUAAUUUGCAGAGGGCGCUUUGGCAUUGGCAGCGGUCCAAGUUCCUUGGAACAGGACGUCACAGAGGGUGAGAAUCCCGUACGUGGUCGCUAGCCUUUACCGUGUAAAGCCCCUUCGACGAGUCGAGUUGUUUGGGAAUGCAGCUCUAAAUGGGAGGUAAAUUUCUUCUAAAGCUAAAUACUGGCCAGAGACCGAUAGCGCACAAGUAGAGUGAUCGAAAGAUGAAAAGCACUUUGGAAAGAGAGUUAAAAAGCACGUGAAAUUGUUGAAAGGGAAGCGCUUGCAGCCAGACUUGCCUGUAGUUGCUCAUCUAGGUUUCUACCUAGUGCACUCUUCUAUAGGCAGGCCAGCAUCAGUUUGGGCGGUUGGAUAAAGGUCUCUGUCAUGUACCUCUCUUCGGGGAGAACUUAUAGGGGAGACGACAUGCAACCAGCCUGGACUGAGGUCCGCGCAUCUGCUAGGAUGCUGGCGUAAUGGCUGUAAGCGGCCCGUCUUGAAACACGGACCAAGGAGUCUAACAUCUAUGCGAGUGUUUGGGUGUCAAGCCCGAGCGCGUAAUGAAAGUGAACGGAGGUGGGAACCUUUCGGGGUGCACCAUCGACCGAUCCUGAUGUCUUCGGAUGGAUUUGAGUAAGAGCAUAGCUGUUGGGACCCGAAAGAUGGUGAACUAUGCUUGAAUAGGGUGAAGCCAGAGGAAACUCUGGUGGAGGCUCGCAGCGGUUCUGACGUGCAAAUCGAUCGUCAAAUUUGGGCAUAGGGGCGAAAGACAAUC
rnacentral:rRNA from 1 species